rnacentral:rRNA from 1 species
CGGCUGGCGGCGUGCCUAAUACAUGCAAGUAGAACGCUGAAGGAGGAGCUUGCUUCUCUGGAUGAGUUGCGAACGGGUGAGUAACGCGUAGGUAACCUGCCUGGUAGCGGGGGAUAACUAUUGGAAACGAUAGCUAAUACCGCAUAAUAGUAGAUGUUGCAUGACAUUUGCUUAAAAGGUGCAAUUGCACCACUACCAGAUGGACCUGCGUUGUAUUAGCUAGUUGGUGAGGUAACGGCUCACCAAGGCGACGAUACAUAGCCGACCUGAGAGGGUGAUCGGCCACACUGGGACUGAGACACGGCCCAGACUCCUACGGGAGGCAGCAGUAGGGAAUCUUCGGCAAUGGACGGAAGUCUGACCGAGCAACGCCGCGUGAGUGAAGAAGGUUUUCGGAUCGUAAAGCUCUGUUGUAAGAGAAGAACGAGUGUGAGAGUGGAAAGUUCACACUGUGACGGUAUCUUACCAGAAAGGGACGGCUAACUACGUG